GUUACAAUUUUUUUCCUUGUCAUGAGAACUGUUAUUUUGAUGUCUGUCCCUCCAGCCUCUUUUGGGGCUUCAUUCUAACCAGCAAUGAUAGCACAAGGACUGAAGGAUAUUACUUAGUCCCUGAGAUAGAUAUGUAGGUCACUGUUGGGGUUUUUUCCUCCUCUCUCCCCAACAGCUGCCUCAAAAUCAGAACAGAAGCCAAAGUGACAGUGAUAUGUAGGUCUGAGGAUUCCUUUUGUGAGAUUAACAAUAUUAACAAUGUUUGUGAAAUAUUGAGCAUCUUGGUGGUCAAUAACUUGCUCCAACAGGAUUCUGUUUUGAGCUUUGUAAAUUGGCCAAAGCCACACACACCACUUCUCUUCUGGCUCUGGGACUCUUUGGCCAGAGCCCCUCUCUGGGCACAGGAGCGCCUCAUUUCUCACUCCGUACCUGUGCAGAGCGGCUGUCCUGGUCUGAUCUGUGAGGAGGCAGGAGGCAGCUUUCAUGCAGGAGAGCAGCUCUGGCAAAGCCUUUCCCCACUGGCCCACCUUCCUGAGGGCAACUGAAGUUCAAGUGCGGAGCUGCCAGAGGGUCAUUUCCUGGUGCUGAAGGGCUGUGAACCAAGGGCCACGGUCCUUCUGACCAUCACAGUCCUCCUCCAGUCUCUGGGAGGGGCUGCCCUCGGCCCUGCCUGGCUCCCUUGUGUGCUCUCUGAAAGCGCACGAGCAUUCACAGCUUCCCAAAGGACCUCACUCGAGGUCUCCCUGCCUUCCAGGAAGAGUUCUCUGCUGUCAUCUUACCUGUACCUUCCAGUGAGGUUGGCCAUUUCUUCCUGCUCUAAAUCAGCAACACCCACAUCAGCUGCAGUCUGUUGAGUGUCUGCCAUGUUUCAUGUUGCAUAUAUAAUCCCUACAUUUUCUCUUGCUCAAUCCUUACAACACCCAUAAAACAGUUAAUAGCUUUACUUUACAGUUGGAGAAUCUCAGCCUAAGACUUCUGAAACUGGGUGUUUUGCUAGAAUCAGAGGAACCCAAGUCUGAAUUCAAAUCUAAUUCUUUAGCCUGUGUUCGUACCUCCUACUAUACCGUUGCCUUCCGUAAGAGCAGCCCUCGGCAAACAGGGAGACAGGGGUUGCUUGCCCUCAUCUCUUCCUCAGUCUUUUCCUCCUAGAAUCUAUUUUCCCCAACAGAUUCUUCUCACUCUGAAUUCCUCUAAAGCCCCUAAAUCUCCCCCAAACUCUGGUAGUCCUUUACUUUACAGGGCUCUUAACUAGGUACAUGAAUACCAACACAUUCCAUGAGCUUUCGUUUUUAAGCAGCCAGAGCACAUCAGAGCCUAAGAGUUCUUAGACAAAUUCCAUUUUCCAGCAGCCACAAAGCGCUCCUUGGUGGUCUACCUUAAACCUCAAAUCACACCUUCUGGCUCAGGAAUUUGCAGGAGAGACCCAAUUUCAAAGUGUUCUACAAAGUACUCAGAUCUUGCCAGCAGAGAGACAGAACCUGGCAGGAGAUCUGAGAGAUGGCCCAGAGGGGCCGGGCUAGGAGGAAGGCAGUGGGAACAUGGACUCAAGUCUCAUGCCCAGAUGAUUCUAGGUACCAGGUCCAUGAAAACGACCUCCUUGGGUUAAUAUGAAUGUACAUACUUUGCUCCUGGUAUAAUGAGCUCAACUGGAGUAGUGCUAGAGAUAAACAAAACUUCAUGGCCCCAGAGGUAAUUGACAGACAAUAAAAAAUCCAGUAGAAUAAAGUGCAAUGUCUGUACUAGGCAGAUGGGCAGAAACCAGUGAGAUUAUAGAACCCAAGUUUAUGGGAUAGCUUAUGGUGUGGUAAAGGUUAAAAAUUUUGGGGACUGGAACAAGCCCAUCCCUAGGACAGGAUGCCCUGGAUAGGUAUCAGGGUGAAAUCAAAAUAUUUCAUAGCAGGUGUGCCCAGGCCCUGUGCCAGCCAGACUGCAGCCCUGCAGCAGGAAUGGGCAUUAACCCUCUGGUGCAUGGGAGCCCUGGAGAGUCCUGGAGUAAGGACCAGGGAGCACUCAGGGGGUUGGAGCUCAAGGCAGGAACUCUUUGGUAAUCAGAGGCAUAUUUAACAAGCAGCACUGCUGUUUAGGGAGGACAGGCUGGAUCAGGAUUCUGGGAAGCCCUGUGAGAGAGAGGACUGCAGGCUGCAGACACGCACAGCUCCAGUACCCUCCCCUGGUCCCUGGAGCUGGCAUUGCCAGACUCCAUUUCCCUUCAAGACCUCCUCAGGACAGGGGGAUCUUGCCAGCUCAUGUGGAAAAGAUGUAGCCCCUUAACUCUCAAGUUUGGCUAUUACACAGUUCAGAAUUACCCCUUCCCACCCCCAGCUCUGUAGAUAGGACUUGGGCAGGGAGGUUGGGGGACACAGCUGUUACCCUCCUCUAGUGCGCCAGGUCCUGUGUUUGUUCUCACCUAAUCCUCCAACCAUACUCUGCAUAUUCUCACCCCUGCUUUGCAGAGAAGACUGGGUUUAGGGAGGUUGCAUCUCUCACGGGGCCACACUGCCCAGAAGUGGCAGGGCCAGGACUGAGGAGCAGGUCUACCUUCUGGCAGCACACUUUCCAUCCACCUGGAGGCUGGCUCUCACCCUGAAUAACCGAACUAUCUGAAAGCUUGCUCCAGACGCUAGACUAGCUAAUAGCAAAGUCAGUAGAACCCUCAGCUCCCAAUUUAGGGCUCUCCCUACACUCCAAGAAUCUAGCUGUCACCGCAAAUCAGUCAGAAACUGUUUAGUUACAGCUGGCCUCCCAGGUCGGGGUGGGUCUGAUGUCCACCUUUGGCUAGGCAUACCCUGACCAGCCCAGGCCACAAGCUCGGGGGUGCUGGAGAGGGGCAGACGGAUCCCAGGGGGCCUGUGGGAACUCCCUCCCCAGGGCCUCCCAGGGCAGGCCCAGCUAGUGAUGCCACCUCCUCCUCCCUGAGAGCUGGGUGUAUCCAUCAGGUCCUUGCGACAGCUGUGUCAGAGCUCAGACCAGCCUGCGGAGAGCUUCCAGGACGUGGGGGCCCUCCUUAAAAAGAGACCACUGGGAUGGGAGCUCUAUGGGACGGCAAACGAUUCUCAGCUAGCCUGAGCAGCAUCCCAGACCAGGGGUCACCUGGGGGGAGCUGCCGCGCUGUUCCUUCCUAUCACACAGGCUAGGUGAGGGGCCAGGGCAGGAAGUCCCAGCACUGAGUCAUGGACCCUCCAGGACCUGAGAGGAACAGGAGCAGCUCUCCAUUGCCUUCCCCCUCCUUCCGAUAAGCUCUGGCCUCUAGCUGGACGUGAGGCUGGAUACUAACAGAGGCUGCCCUGGGCAGCAGUCACCUGACCAUGAAGGCUGCGCAGAGCCAGGUGCCAGCUGCAGAUGACACCGCGAAACAGCAGCAGCUGACACUCCAUCAGUGGAGAACAUGCCCUGAGCACCCACCACAUGCCAGCCCUGGGUCCUGACCCUGGAGAAAUGGAUUCUGAACAGACUUCUUUCAAGUAAGGACUCCUUCAUUAGGAAAUAACCUUUCCUGAGAAUCAAAGAUUGACCAAGGAUUUAAAAAAAAGGAUGAAAUGUAAACAUUUUAACCUGUGCAAUUUUGUUUCAUGUUUUUGUCCCUGUAAUCCUUACCAUCCUUUCUUUCCUCAGACUCAGCCCUGGACUCUACUGCCCUGAGAAAGAAAGCUAUCUUCAAAAUACAAAGUGAAACAGAAGUUAAAUCUUGGCUUCUGGAAUUUUCUAGGCCUCAGUUUUCCUGUAAAUAAUAGAUAUGGAAAAAUACUUAGGCAGUAUUUCUCCUACUGUAAAAACCAAUCAGACCUAGCCCUGCCACGCACAGGCAUUUACUCAAGAGGAAUGAAACUUCCCAUCUCUGCUGCCAACACCACCUGAUGUGUGGGAGCUGGCGGGGCUGUGUGAUUCCACAGAGAGAGCUCCUCCUCCGCGUGAUGGGCAUUGGCGGACUGCCUCAUGGGAUGUUGAAUGUUUGGUAAGCUGAUCAUUUGGUAAGUUGACUUUCUCCUUUAAAAAUCAACUUUAGUGAGGUAUAAUUUUAAAAAAUAAAAUGCACCCAUAUGAUGGAUGAAUUUUGACAAAUACAUACAAUGUCAACACCACCCAAAUCAAGACCUAGGUCACUUCUGUCACCCCCCAGGAGUUGCCUCGCAGCCCUUUGAGGUCAAUCUGUCCCCUUUCCCUGGGACCUCAGGGAACCACUGAUCUGUUUUCUGUCCCUGUAGAUUAUAUGUGUCUUUCUGGAAUUUCACAUACAUGUAUUCAUAGUGUUCAGUCUUUUGUGGAUGACUUCUUUUGCUUAACAUAAGGGUUUGAGACUUACACGUGUUGUACUGAGUUUGGUCUUUUUCAUUGCUGUAUAGUACUGCAUUGCAAAAAGAUUACAGUUUGUUUAUUCAGUCAUCAGCUGAGGGACAAAGCUGAAUGCAAUUUUUAGCAAUUAUAAAUAAAGCUGCUAUAAACAUUUA